UGGCGUACGGGUGAGUAACACGUGGGUAAUCUACCUCUUUAGUGGGGAAUAACUCUGGGAAACCGGAGCUAAUACCGCAUAAGCCUGGAAAGGGAAAGCAGCAAUGCGCUGAGAGAGGAGUCCGCGGCCGAUUAGCUAGUUGGCAGGGUAAAAGCCUACCAAGGCAUUGAUCGGUAGCCGGCCUGAGAGGGCACACGGCCACACUGGCACUGAAACACGGGCCAG
rnacentral:rRNA from 1 species